CAGUUUGAGAGUUUGUGCAGGUGUGGAUGAUUGGCGGGGUGGGGGUGCCUGUAACCCCCAAUAAUCAAAACAAGCAGAUGCUUUCUUUCCUGAAGAGGUUUGAGCAUCAAAUGCAGAGCUUGUUGCAGACACAUCUGCCCAGGGAUGCACGAUUCACCACAAACUCCUCAAAUACUCUACUGAGCUCUCCCUCCCAUCUCAAGCUCUUGCAACCUUGGAAAUGUGAAUGAGCUGAGAGAGAAGCUUGAGCCAGCUAAUGAAGAGACCAGGAAUCGUCCUCACAUGUACACAAGAACCCAAAAAUAGUAUGCAGUUGAC